rnacentral:snRNA from 1 species
ACCACUUCCCAGCCAUUGGCUAAGAUCAAGUGCAUCAUCUUUUCUCAUCACUUUAAUAUCUGGUACAUCCUCAGCUUGAAGAUUUUAUAUGAAAUAGAUUUGGAGGGCACGCGAAGGAGUAACUGCUUCCUCCAUCUGCUCCAUGUAUCAACCCAGAACUGCAGUGCUUCCAGGUACCGAGGCUGCAUCG